UGGUGGGUAGUUUGACUGGGGCGGUCUCCUCCUAAAGAGUAACGGAGGAGCACGAAGGUUGGCUAAUCCUGGUCGGACAUCAGGAGGUUAGUGCAAUGGCAUAAGCCAGCUUGACUGCGAGCGUGACGGCGCGAGCAGGUGCGAAAGCAGGUCAUAGUGAUCCGGUGGUUCUGAAUGGAAGGGCCAUCGCUCAACGGAUAAAAGGUACUCCGGGGAUAACAGGCUGAUACCGCCCAAGAGUUCAUAUCGACGGCGGUGUUUGGCACCUCGAUGUCGGCUCAUCACAUCCUGGGGCUGAAGUAGGUCCCAAGGGUAUGGCUGUUCGCCAUUUAAAGUGGUACGCGAGCUGGGUUUAGAACGUCGUGAGACAGUUCGGUCCCUAUCUGCCGUGGGCGCUGGAGAACUGAGGGGGGCUGCUCCUAGUACGAGAGGACCGGAGUGGACGCAUCACUGGUGUUCGGGUUGUCAUGCCAAUGGCACUGCCCGGUAGCUAAAUGCGGAAGAGAUAAGUGCUGAAAGCAUCUAAGCACGAAACUUGCCCCGAGAUGAGUUCUCCCUGAGACUUUGAGUCUCCUGAAGGAACGUUGAAGACGACGACGUUGAUAGGCCGGGUGUGUAAGCGCAGCGAUGCGUUGAGCUAACCGGUACUAAUGAACCGUGAGGCUUAACCUUACAACGCCGAAG
rnacentral:rRNA from 1 species